AUGAAAUCCUGGGUUGGCCUUGUGAAAGAAGGCCCCAAUCUCCAGGACUUUUGGCUGGCUCAAUUAGUGAGCAAUGAUGAUUUCCCACUGAUGCCCGAGAGGAGGGCAACCAGUGGCUGUCCCUGUGGGUCUGUCCAGUAUUCACUGCAGCUUGACAGUAGAAGCCCAAAUCCCCAAGAUGUUUGGUGGGUACAACAAAUGGGCAAAGAGAGUUAUACACAGGCGACCCUGAAUAUUGUUCCAGUGGAAGAUUCCCUUGGGACAGCUGGGUGCUCAUCCCAUAUUCCAAAUAGAAGCCAAGAUCUUAAAACUUUUUGGCUAGUCCAACCAGUGGACAAAGAUGGUCUCCCAGAAAGGCCCACAAAGAAGGAUGUAGGUGGCCAAGUGAUGGGGGGAUCUGGGUCCUCACCACACUUUCAAGAAAGGGGCCCUGAUCCCCAGACUCUGUGGGAGGUCCAACAGGUGGGCAAAGACCACUUCCCACGGAAACGCGGGAAGACAGCUCAAGGUGGCCGUCGUUUUGGGACUGGUUGGUAUUCAGCACAGCAUCAAAACAGGGCCAAUGGUCCUCAGACUUCUUGGUUCGUGCAACAAGUAAGCACAGAUGAUGUCCAGAUGCCUGGGAAGAGGGUUCCUGGUCCUACUGGGGACUGCUGGUAUCCACCACAUUUCCAUACAGGGAGCCCUGAUCACCAAGAUAUCUGGCUGGCCCAACCAGUAUACAAUGCCUAUGUCCCAGUGAUACCCAUGAAGAGAAUUCGAAGUGACUGCCCUUUUGGGGCAACUUGGUACUCACCACAAUUUCUACAAAGGGUACUUGAUUUACACAUUCAUGCCCACCAUCACCACUGUGUAGGACAUGCCCACCAUCACCGCUGUGUACGACAUGCCCACCGUCACCGCUGUGUACGACAUGCCCACCGUCACCGCUGUGUAGGUCAUGCCCACCAUCACCGCUGCACAGGACAUCUGUGUCUCCCAACUAGGCUUGAGCAGAAGAGAACCAGCGAUUCUGUCUUUUUUGUGAUAUGUGAUGAGACAAGUCCAGAAUACAUUUAUAUUCCUUGUCAUCCUACCCAUCAGUAA
rnacentral:lncRNA from 1 species